rnacentral:rRNA from 13 species
AAUUAUAUUUUUUCUGUAAAGCAAAUCAUUUGGAAUAAUGAACGAUACAAGGUGAAAGUCCCGUAGUUUUAGAAAAAAAAAUAUGUCGAAAGAUUUCCCGAGUAGCUUGGGACAUGUGAAAUCCCGAGUGAAUCCGCGAGAACCAUCUCGUAAGACUAAAUACUCCUAAAUAACCGAUAGAGAAUAGUACCGUGAGGGAAAGGUGAAAAGAACCCUGAGUUGGGAGUGAAAUAGACCAUGAAAUCAAAAGCUUACAAGCAGUAGGAGGUAUAUAAAAUACUGACUGCGUGCCUGUUGAAGAAUGUGCCUGCGAAUUAUAAAAGAUGGCUUGGUUAAUACGCUACGCGUUGAAGCCUAAGUGAAAGCGAGCUUGAAGAGAGCGAUUGUCAGCUUUUAUAGACCCGAACCCAGGUGAUCUAACCAAGGCCAGAAUGAAGCUUCAGUAAAAUGAAGUAGAGGUUCGAACUCACUGAUGUUGAAAAAUCAGGAGAUGAGCUUUGGUUAGCGGAGAAAUUCCAAUCGAACUUGGAGCUAGCUGGUUCUCCCCGAAAUGUGUUUUGGUACAGCCUUUCAUUAAGAACUAAUCAGGGGUAAAGCACUGUGUUGGUGCGGGCUGUGAAAACGGUACCAAAUCAAUGCAAACUCUGAAUACUGAUUAUGAAUACAAUGAUCGAGUGAGACUGUGGGGGAUAAGCUUCAUAGUCAAAAGGGAAACAGCCCAGACCAUCAGUUAAGGCCCCUAAAUAAUAACUAAGUGGAAAAAGAGGUGAAAAUGCUUAAACAACCAGGAGGUUUGCUUAGAAGCAGCCAUCCUUUAAAGAGUGCGUAAUAGCUCACUGGUCAAGUGAUUCCGCGCCGACAAUGUAGCGGGGCUCAAGUACACCGCCGAAGUUGUGGCAUUGCACCAAUGAUACCCAACCGGGCCUCGCGCCCGGUUCAGGUGGUGCGAUGGGUAGGGGAGCGUCGUGUGGGCAGUGAAGCUGCGGGGUGACCCAGUGGUGGAGCCCACACGAGUGAGAAUGCAGGCAUGAGUAGCGAAUGACGGGUGAGAAACCCGUCCGCCGGAUGAUCAAGGGUUCCAGGGUCAAGCUAAUCUGCCCUGGGUCAGUCGGGACCUAAGGCGAGGCCGACAGGCGUAGUCGAUGGACAACGGGUUGAUAUUCCCGUACCGGCGAAGAACCGCCCCUAUCGAACCGGGGACACUAACCACCCGAACCGCACCAGGUGCCGGCCAUUGGCCGUCGCCGGUGUCGGGGAGCGUGGGACCUGAACCGGGGAGGUAAGCGUAUUAACAGGUGUGACGCAGGAAGGUAGCCGAGCCGGGCGAUGGUAGACCCGGUCUAAGCGUGUAGGGCGAUCCGUUGGCAAAUCCGCGGAUCACAGGGCCUGAGACGUGACGGGACCCCCAUCCGUGGGGGGAUUCGGUGAUCCUAUGCUGCCGAGAAAAGCAUCGACGCGAGGUUCCAGCCGCCCGUACCCCAAACCGACACAGGUGAUCAGGUAGAGAAUACUAAGGCGAUCGAGAGAAUCAUGGUUAAGGAACUCGGCAAAAUGCCCCCGUAACUUCGGGAGAAGGGGGGCCCCGACCGUGGACCGGACGUGCUCCGGCGAGCGGGUAAGGGCCGCAGAGACCAGGGGGAAGCGACUGUUUAUCAAAAACACAGGUCCGUGCGAAGUCGCAAGACGAGGUAUACGGACUGACUCCUGCCCGGUGCUGGAAGGUUAAGAGGACCUGUUAGCCUCACGGCGAAGCGGAGAAUUUAAGCCCCAGUAAACGGCGGUGGUAACUAUAACCAUCCUAAGGUAGCGAAAUUCCUUGUCGGGUAAGUUCCGACCCGCACGAAAGGCGUAACGAUCUGGGCGCUGUCUCGGAGAGAGACUCGGUGAAAUAGAAUUGUCUGUGAAGAUGCGGACUACCUCCAUCAGGACAGAAAGACCCUAUGAAGCUUUACUGUAAUUUGAAAUUGUAGUUGGGCUUUUCUUGCGCAGCUUAGGUGGAAGGCGUUGAUAUUUAUUUUCUGGAAUAAAAGGAGCCAUCAGUGAGAUACCACCCUUGAAAAGUUGAACUACUAAUCUUUUGCCGUUAGCCGGCUAAGAAACAGUUUUUGAUGGACAGUUUGACUGGGGCGGUCGCCUCCCAAAAGGUAACGGAGGCGUGCAAAGGUUCUCUCAGACUAGAUGGAAAUUAGUCGCUGAGUGUAAAGGCAAAAGAGAGCUUGACUGAGAGACCUACAAGUCGAUCAGGGACGAAAGUCGGCCUUAGUGAUCCGGCGGUUUUUUAUGGAUAAGCCGCCGCUCAACGGAUAAAAGCUACUCUAGGGAUAACAGGCUGAUCUCCCCCAAGAGUUCACAUCGACGGGGAGGUUUGGCACCUCGAUGUCGGCUCAUCGCAUCCUGGGGCGGUAGUACGUCCCAAGGGUUGGGCUGUUCGCCCAUUAAAGCGGUACGUGAGCUGGGUUCAAAACGUUGUGAAACAGUUUGGUCCAUAUCCGAUGGAGGCGUAAGAGUAUUGAAAGGAUCUUUUCCUAGUACGAGAGGACCGGAAAGGACAUGCCUCUGGUGUACCAGUUAUUUUGCCAAAAGUAAACGCUGGGUAGCUAAGCAUGGAGUGGAUAACUGCUGAAAGCAUCUAAGUAGGAAGCCCACCUUAAGAUGAGUACUCUUU